GACGAACGCUGGCGGCGUGCCUAACACAUGCAAGUCGAACGGAGUUGCCCUUCGGGACAACUUAGUGGCGAACGGGUGAGUAACGCGUGAGGAACCUGCCUUUCAGUGGGGGACAACAGUUGGAAACGACUGCUAAUACCGCAUAAUGUCAUCGAGCGGCAUCGCUUGAUGACCAAAGAUUUAUUGCUGAAAGAUGGCCUCGCGUCUGAUUAGCUAGUUGGUGGGGUAACGGCCCACCAAGGCGACGAUCAGUAGCCGGUCUGAGAGGAUGAACGGCCACAUUGGGACUGAGAUACGGCCCAGACUCCUACGGGAGGCAGCAGUGGGGAAUAUUGGGCAAUGGGGGAAACCCUGACCCAGCAACGCCGCGUGAAGGAAGAAGGCCUUCGGGUUGUAAACUUCUUUUACCAGGGACGAAGAACGUGACGGUACCUGGAGAAAAGACAACGG
rnacentral:rRNA from 1 species